GCGGACGUGGCGAAAUUGGCAGACGCACCAGAUUUAGGUUCUGGCGCCGAGAGGUGUGAGAGUUCGAGUCUCUCCGUCCGCA
rnacentral:tRNA from 1 species